GGGUUGUGAGGUUAAGUGACUAAGCGUACACGGUGGAUGCCUAGGCAGUCAGAGGCGAUGAAGGGCGUGCUAAUCUGCGAAAAGCGUCGGUAAGGUGAUAUGAACCGUUACAACCGGCGAUACCCGAAUGGGGAAACCCAGUGUGUUUCGACACACUAUCAUGUCAUGAAUACAUAGUGGCAUGAGGCGAACCGGGGGAACUGAAACAUCUAAGUACCCCGAGGAAAAGAAAUCAACCGAGAUUCCCCCAGUAGCGGCGAGCGAACGGGGAGGAGCCCAGAACCUGAAUCGGCUUGUGUGUUAGUGGAAGCGUCUGGAAAGUCGCGCAGCAAAGGGUGAUAGCCCCGUACACUAAAAUGCACAGGUCGUGAGUUCGAUGAGUAGGGCGGGACACGUGACAUCCUGUCUGAAUAUGGGGGGACCAUCCUCCAAGGCUAAAUACUCCUGACUGACCGAUAGUGAACCAGUACCGUGAGGGAAAGGCGAAAAGAACCCCGGCGAGGGGAGUGAAAUAGAACCUGAAACCGUGUACGUACAAGCAGUGGGAGCACCUUCGUGGUGUGACUGCGUACCUUUUGUAUAAUGGGUCAGCGACUUAUAUUUUGUAGCAAGGUUAACCGUAUAGGGGAGCCGUAGGGAAACCGAGUCUUAACUGGGCGA
rnacentral:rRNA from 3 species